UACGGGGGGGGCAAGCGUUGUUCGGAAUUACUGGGCGUAAAGGGCUUGUAGGCGGCCAACUAAGUCAGACGUGAAAUCCCUCGGCUUAACCGGGGAACUGCGUCUGAUACUGGAUGGCUUGAGAUUGGGAGAGGGAUGCGGAAUUCCAGGUGUAGCGGUGAAAUGCGUAGAUAUCGAGAGGAACACCUGCGGCGAAGGCGGGUUGCUGGGCUGACACUGACGCUGACAGCGCGAAAGCUAGGGGAGCGAACGGG
rnacentral:rRNA from 1 species